UACGGGAGGCAGCAGUGGGGAAUAUUGCACUAAUGGGCGCAAGCCUGAUGCAGCCAUGCCGCGUGUAUGAAGAAGGCCUUCGGGUUGUAAAGUACUUUCAGCAGUGAGGAAGGUGGGUAUGUUAAUAGCAUAUUCAUUUGACGUUAGCUGCAGAAGAAGCACCGGCUAACUCCGUGCCAGCAGCCGCGGUAAUACGGAGGGUGCGAGCGUUAAUCGGAAUUACUGGGCGUAAAGCGCAUGCAGGUGGUUUGUUAAGUCAGAUGUGAAAGCCCGGGGCUCAACCUCGGAAUUGCAUUUGAAACUGGCAAACUAGAGUACUGUAGAGGGGGUAGAAUUUCAGGUGUAGCGGUGAAAUGCGUAGAGAUCUGAAGGAAUACCGGUGGCGAAGGCGGCCCCCUGGACAGAUACUGACACUCAGAUGCGAAAGCGUGGGGAGCAAACAGGAUUAGAUACCCUGGUAG
rnacentral:rRNA from 1 species